GCGGAAUGGAAUUGCUCAUUUGAAUGCGGCGGUUUCAUCCGAGUUUCUUUAUUGCAAUUUUGCUCGAAGUGUAGCGCUUCACUUCAAGUUUUGCGUGACCUAGCGCACGGCAUUGAUUGACGAAAAGUUGUCUUGCAAGGCCCUUCUAACCUCAUCGCUAGUUAUAGAAGGAGUCACUGCAACCUGUUCAUUACUGUUUGGCAUGGAAUUAUCCUGAGUCCUCUGGGUACUGUACAGGUCUGACCGCCGCCUUGGUCAGGUGCUCCGUAGCUGCUGGGGACUGAAAGCUACUGGUUGAUCGAAUGAGUCAUUUGGGAGGGACUUCGUCAUUGCGAUGCACGCACGCCAGACGUGGAAAAACCCUGGAAAGAACUGAAUAAUGCCUGUGGAGCCACGCGCCGGCAGGGCAGGAUCACCAAGGGCCCCGCAGCAUUUCACAGUGGUGCCAAAACUCCA